rnacentral:lncRNA from 1 species
AAAAUGAAUAUAAGUUUCAAAGAAAACCAUAAUAUCACAACUAUCCAUUUGCCCGUUGAAAUAGUUAACCAGUACAUUCAAAACAAGAUUGGCCAAACAAUUAAGAAACUACAAGAAUCAAGGCAAAAUGGUACAUCACUGAAUUUCAAAUAUAACCUAAAUGGCGGAUACAUUAGGAGCCAUCCUAAAAUAAUCACCCCGCAUCGUGUCAUCUGACUUGAACUUGGAAACUUGCUUGUCGCUUUAGGAGAGAAAAAAAUAAUGUAGCUGGUAAGAGCCCUCCAGGAAAGAUAAAAAAAAUGAUUACUGCUGACCAUUAUCAAUAUGCUCUCUAAAUUAGACAAAAAACAACAUAGAAAGGCACAUGCUUGUGAGCAACAAUGUAGGCAUUCAAGCAGGGAUGGAUUUAUUUUUUUUGCUUCAUCCGGUAAAAAGCUUCUUUGUGGUCCAAUUUGAGAACGGAAACAAGAGUAUGUGGCGGCUCUGCCUGCUACUUUACAUAGUAUACACCAAAUAAUCAAAAUGGUAAAUUAGUUUCCAUGCAUACAGGAUAGUGCGAGUAAGAGUGAAAACUAAAGUGCACUUCUAAUGUUACCUGCUUAAUGCCCUACGUGGAGGAUACUUCACCUGGUUCCCAAAAAUGGAAAAUCAAAGUAAAGAGUAAGUAGGCCUUUUCCUGCUACUUGAUCAACGGAAUAUAAAUAAGAAUGUUGUCGCCUUGGUACGGUUUAGAGAGAAGCAUGUUUCGGUUUGGUUUCCUGCAGAUAAAACUCAUAAACUAUUCUGCAUUCCAUGAAUAGAAAGAUUAAUAUUGUAGUCCUGAAAUACAGUGUCGCAAUUGAGCAACACAACUGCGAUUAAACGGCUAAGUUCUCCACCUUUGCACCAUUGCCAGAAUUUAUACUCUAAUCACCAAACAAAAUGGAAAACAAGGUUAAGAGUGAUUAUGAUACAAAGAUGAGGAGCUCGUGUUCUUCUUGUUACAGAAACAUGUUGGGGAACAACAGCACGGGAAUGCAAGCCAUAACAAAGCCUUGAAUAUUCGUUUAGAAAUAUCUGUUUGAUGCAAAAACUGACCGAUCAUCACAACUGCCGAUUACUGCUACAAAUAUAAUGAACAUGCACGAAGAAAAUCAACAGCUCGGUUAUACAUUUAUCUUAUUAUGUCUGAUCAUGACUGAUCAUUUACUGCUAGGAACAUAACAUCACACAAAAGUUUCUAUUUUGCUAUCAACAUCACAGGAUCCUUACCUGAUACGCGUGGCGCCGACGUCCGCCGCUUCCCCCCAUUCCUCGCCUCCCGGAGCGCUGCCGCCGUCGUCCUCCGUCGUGUCCCAAUCGGAUCGGGAGCGCCGCCGCUCGAU